rnacentral:tRNA from 1 species
AAAGGGAGACCUAAUUCAGGUAGGAGACGAAAAAAAAGUAGUCGCUACCAAGAAUCAAUCCCAAAAGGUCGGAGCGAGGCGAAAUUGGCUUUCAAACUAGGUUCUGGGUUCAAACAAGACCUGAAUCAGGAACAAGGGCUAUUAGCUCAGGUGGUUGAGCGCACCCCUGAUAAGGGUGAGGUCCCUGGUUCGAGUCCAGGAUGGCCCACCUGCACAGGUGGCAAAAACAAGAGAAGCGAGGAAUCAGCACCUUAUCUUACUGACAUAGUAAGAGAGAAUGCUGGCUCUGAGUAAAGAGUCCAGAGGAACCUUGAAAACUGCAUAGAGCUAGGUGAAAAAGCCAAAAAAGAAGACCGCAAG